CCAAUCUUCAAUUGGCUCGUUUAGAUACACUCGAAGUAGAUUGGUCUCUCGAAGCGAGAUCCCAAUUCGUCGGUCAUCCGACGUGACUCGGAGUGACCGACUGAAAGGGAACUACAGUUCUCUGUGGUCGCAUGUAAAGUUGUUACGUUGACUUUUAGUUGCAUAUAGUACAUAUCAUGGUAUAUAGUAUAUAAUAUAUAUCAUGCUGUUAUUCAGUUGUAAGAGGAUGUCCAUCAUCACUCUCUAUGAAACUAGAGGAUAAUGUAUUUACAUCUUGUUUCAUGAUUCACAAAGUGCCCUGUGUGGUUAAGUGAUUGUGAAGCCAUGCAUUGUCACGGCUCGCGAGGGCGAGGAAGUCCUUUGUUCAGCCCGAGAGAGAGCGAUCCUCCUGCUCCAGCAGGAUGAUGAGGAAGUUAGGGUCAACGUACGAGGGAAAACAUUAAGGCAAAAUAAAAAACAAAAGGGAGAAAACGCCUCUAUUCAACCUUUACUGGUCUGACUAACUGUCACAGUGUGGUUUGCGAGAAAAGGAGCACUCGACGAGAAUAUAAAGUUUAUGACUUUAAUCAUUCACAUAUAAAGAAAUAAUACCUCAGGCAGACAGGCAGAUAAACAAAUUCACACAUAAUAUAGACGAAGUCAGACAAACUGAACUGAAACAACAGGACUUAAAUACACACAGUAAAUACUUAAUAAAUGAGACACAACUAAAGACGAUAAGACAAUUAACCAAAAGUGGGUCACAUUGGGACAUGAAAACAACACAGAGUCCACAUGUGUGACACAUUCUAGUCAUUAUUCAACCCAUUUUUCAUGCAUUACGAUAUUAUUAUUAUUAUUAUUAUUAUUAUUUAUAUUACACUAUUUGAUGUCUAAACUAGAUGUAAACUGCAAAAUCAUCAAAUAUGAUGAAUUUGAUCACAAUUUUAAGGCAUUUGAAAUUCCUUUCAUGGCCAGUAGAAGAGAAGGACUUGAGGAUGAUCCGAAAGUUGACAAAUUGUUGAAUAUGCCAAAGAUGUCCUCUGAGUACCAAAUUAAGUGGAGGUAAUGAUGGGCAAGAAUUGAUUUGUUAGACGAACAGGACAGCAGCUCUGAAUCCAAGCGGUCAGUGGAGCCAGCAUCGGCAAGGGGGGAUAGUUCCCUCACAGAGAGAUCAACACAUGACCAAUUACAUCCCAUACUACAUCAAUCAAACAGCAUUACAGCUGGGCUGAGCAAAGAACAGAAGGAGAAUUUACUCAGAGCCUCCUCGAUCUCCAGGUGAAAUGGAGACAAAGGCCCACAUUUCAUAAAGCAAGGAUGGCUACCCCAAGAAGUAUGUCCCUGUGUUUUUUUUUAUGUUCACGGUGUCCUAUAUGAAAUGUAAUGUGGUAUUUGCAAAACUAUUUAAAAACAUGUUAAAAAUUCCAUAGAUAAAGUGGUUGUUUAUUUGCAUUGCUUGUUUUACUCUUUUCAAAAGUGGAUGCUCAACAUAACACCUUUGUAGGUCAACAUCAACAACAUAGAUGCCCUGAAUCUUUAUUGACCUGUGCACAUAUGUUGAAAUAUGAUGAAAACUUUAUAUCUGAAUGUAUACAACAUGUUACAGGGCAAGAUAAACACAGUCUUGUCAAUUAAAGAUCCCUAAUAUACCUAGGAGCCUGAUCAUGCAGAGCCUUAUACACAAACAUCAGCAUCUUGUAAUGUAUUCAAUAUUUUACAGGAAGCCAGUGCAAUGAUACCAACACAGGUGUUAUAUAUUCUCAUUUUCUAGUGUUAGUUAAAAGUCUUGCUGCAGCAUUUUGAACAUAUUGAAGACACAUAAUGUUUUGGUUACGUAUGUAACCUUCAUUCCCUGAUGGAGGGAACGGAGGCAUUAUGUCCUGAUGACAGACUGGGGUCUUGCAUGGAGCCCUUAUUAGCUCUGAUAAGAGAAAACUGCAAUGAAAUUUGUCAAGUAGUUAACUAAUCCUGAGCCCCUCCCCAUCACAUGGAUAUAAAUAGGCUACAGGUGUAACCACUCAUCAGCUUUGCUGAGGAGCCGAAACCGAGUCUCAGCUCUCAGCGAUGGUUUGAAGUUGUGGCAAGGGGACAUAACGUCUCUGUUCCCUCCAUCAGGGGACGAAGGUUACAUACGUAACCGAUACGUUCCCUGUCUGUCAGUCACUACAAGUUAUGUUGUGACGACAGACUGAGUUCCAAUGGAAAACGCUGCAACCUGAACUCGUUACUACCUGAUUGCACUGCAACAGUUGGCAAGCAACGCAUGCCAGACUAAUGCCAUGCAGAGGUAACCAUCCCAUUGCCCCAGAGCAAAACGCUGACCCUGGUGCCCACCGGGGACCAGAGGUGAGUACAUGACUACUGGAGAAGCCAACCUGUUCCUUUAUUUAGAAACUUCUAACGGAAAGGAUUUCGAGCUUCCAAGAGGGUGCUAAUCUCUUCUAUUUGUUGACAGUCGGCAGAAAAAUGGGGAAGCGGAGAAUACUACGGAGACCACAUCCUGACCAGGAGAGAGAUGUGGGAGAGAAAGCACUACUCCAAUCGUGCCACAUGGUGCCAAGCCCCUGAGAAAGAAGAUUUUCCCUCAGAGGAAUGCGCCAGGGAGGGGCUUUCAUGAGGAGAUUGAGUCUGAUCGUUGAUGUACGAAACAGUCACAGUGUUGUCCGUACGGAAAUGCACUGCCAAUAGCUCCAGGCACUUGAUGUGCCAAAGCAGACGGGGCCCUGUCCAAAGCCCAGAGGCUGUGUGCCCGUUGCAUGUAGCACCCCAACCUGACAUGGAGGCAUCUGUGGUUACUACCACAUGCUGCGACACUUGCUCUAAGACCACCCUGGCCCAUAGAAAUGCAAGGUCUGUCCAUGGGAUGAAAGUGCGAUGACUCUGCACUCUGUCACACCAUGGACCUGAAGGCCUGGAGGAUGAGGAGAUUGCUCUUUUUCUGUGACAUUUGGAACAGCAGGAAAAUGAAACAGAAUGUUUUCCGCCUGGCCCUCCUCCGGGGGAAAAAGGAGUGCCGCAGUGUUCGCCAUCUCCUGAAGAGCAACUUCUCACCUCUCCGGGCCAUCCGUCUCAGGGUCUCUUCGUCAUCUUCCUGGAGGACUUGGAGGCUACCUGAGGUGGAGUGGGCACCACCCUCCUGUGUGGUGCUCUAUGUGACGGCCUCGAAGGGGUGAGCUUAGCAACAAGCAGGAUGAGACGAAACCCAUGGAGGAGUGCUGGAGGAUCACGCCGGGGCAGGAUGUGCUGGAACACCUCGGUCUGCUGUUAUCCUGCCAAGGACUGCUUAGCGAAGUCCUAAACAGUGUUGCCGAAUAGCAUCCAACAAAACGAAUCUUGUCAGAAUCUCAGCCAGGUUGAGUCAUAAAUGGCGCCCUUAGGUCACCAAAGCAGUCAUUGCCUUCCAGAGGGACCGCAUUGUGACCUUCAUUGCUUGUAGAGCAAAGUCAGCAGUCAUGCGCAGCUCCUGCAUAGACCUCGGGUUGGAGCCACCCUUGUGCAGCUACUUCAAUGGCUUGGCCUGGUGAACGUGCGGGAUUGCCAUGGCAUGCAGUGCAGUAGGCGGCUUGGCCCGCAGCGCUGUAGGCCUUAGCAGCAAGGGCUGCCUUGGUCCCACAGGCUUUGGAUGGGAGUGUGUGACAAUUCUGCCAGGUGGCGGCGUUUUACGGGCACAAAUGCACUGCAACCACUCUCUCCACCUGGGGAAUAUCCACAUAACCCCUCGCUGCCCCGCCAUCGAGGGUGGUGAGGGCUGAAAAAGGAGCCAUCCACGACUUCGUCAACUCCUCAUGCACCUCCAGGAAGAAAGGCACUGGGGCGGGCUGCGAUUUAUUAUCACGGCCAGCACCCAGAACAUUUACAUUUAGUCAUUUAGCAGACGCUUUUAUCCAAAGUGACGUACAAAUGAGGUAGGCAAUAGAAGCAAUUUAUAUCAACAAAAGGGCAGCAGUGCAUAACUGCUCUGAGUGGGGUCUUGGCUUACCUAACGCAGACACAAGGCUUUUUUUUUAUUAAAGGAAAGGAUAGGAAAGAACAAGAUAGGAAAGAGCAGGAGAAGAAGAAGAAAGUGCUGGUUGGUUUUGGUUUUUAAAGAUUGCUAGUGACUCUGCUGCCCUAGUGGCAAUGGGCAGAUCGUUCCACCAGCGAGCAACAGACCAGGUGAAGGUGCGCAGGAGUGAUUUUGCACCUUUUUGCGAUGGCACUGCAAGACGCCUUUCGUUUGCAGAGCGUAGGCACCUGGAGGGAACAUAUGAUUUAAUUAGUGAGUGUAAGUACAAGAGAGCGGAGUCUGUGAUUGUCCCGUAGGCCAGCAUCAGGCAUUUCAAUUUGAUGCAGGCAGCUAUAGGAAGCCAGUGUAAACUAAUGAAGAGGGGCAUGACGUGGGCCCUCCUUGGUUCGUUGAAGACCACCCUUGCUGGACCAUCUGAAGAGGUCUGGUUGUAGAGGCUGGGAGGCCAGCAAGGA